CCUACGGGAGACAGCAGUGAGGAAUAUUGGUCAAUGGACGCAAGUCUGAACCAGCCAAGUAGCGUGCAGGAUGACGGCCCUCCGGGUUGUAAACUGCUUUUAGUUGGGAAUAAAAGGGGGCUCGUGAGCCCCGUAUUGUAUGUACCAUCAGAAAAAGGACCGGCUAAUUCCGUGCCAGCAGCCGCGGUAAUACGGAAGGUCCGGGCGUUAUCCGGAUUUAUUGGGUUUAAGGGGAGCGUAGGCCGGCUUUUAAGUCAGCUGUGAAAGUCCGGGGCUCAACCGUGGAAUUGCAGUUGAAACUGGAGGCCGUGAGUGCACACAGGGAUGCCGGAAUUCAUGGUGUAGCGGUGAAAUGCUUAGAUAUCAUGAAGAACUCCGAUCGCGAAGGCAAGUGUCCGGGGUGCAACUGACGCUGAGGCUCGAAAGUGCGGGUAGCAAACAGGAUUAGAUACCCUUGUAGUC
rnacentral:rRNA from 1 species